UACGAAGGGGGCUAGCGUUGCUCGGAAUCACUGGGCGUAAAGCGCACGUAGGCGGCUUUCUAAGUCAGGGGUGAAAUCCUGGAGCUCAACUCCAGAACUGCCUUUGAUACUGGAGAGCUUGAGUCCGGAAGAGGUGAGUGGAACUCCGAGUGUAGAGGUGAAAUUCGUAGAUAUUCGGAAGAACACCAGUGGCGAAGGCGGCUCACUGGUCCGGUACUGACGCUGAGGUGCGAAAGCGUGGGGAGCAAC
rnacentral:rRNA from 1 species